AAGAAUGAUUCAGGGAGUUCCUGUGGUGUCAAGAAAAAUAUGGGAGAACAAACAGGAAACAUAGAUAUUUAUGGGAGACAGAGAGUAAACUAGGAAGAAGAUGAUGAGGGAGCUAUGGAAAGUGUGCAGACGGUGAAUCCUUUCCAGAUAAAUUCAUCAUUCAAAGAGGAAAUGAAAUUAACUACCUACUCUCUUCAGAAGAGCUACUGAAAUCAGUUGUUGAAAAUGGGGAUGAAUGAAAAAAAAAAGAUGAUGAAGCCAAUCUUUCUAAGGGAACUGCAUUAAUGCAAUUAAUAUUUUAGAGAGAUUGUUUACGUAACUGAAUAGGCCAAGUUGGUGUGGCCUUUGUAUUCCUGGGAUCACACCACUCCCUUCCAAGUAAGAGGACUUCUGCUUAUCCCAGUACUAGCAAGUUACCUGCUUCUGAAGAUCACCUGAUUCACAGCCAUAUAUGACAAAGGAUGGCAGGAGACAUAUAUUCAGAUGGAUGAAGCUAACUGCUCCUGCCAGUGAUCUACCCCUCCUACUUAAAUUAUGCUGUGCUUACUUAACAGAGGGUGUAGUAGAAGUGACAAAGAAUUGGAAACUGAGGAGAUGGCAAUCAAUUGGGGAACUGCUGAACUAAUUUUGGUAUGUGUUGGUAAUGGAAUACUAUUGUGCUAUAAGAAAUGUUA